GAACCCACUGGGGUGAUGUUUCUAUAGCAUGACACCAAAUGCACGUGGCUUGUCUUAUGAUUCAUCAUGAAAAUAUCUGAGGGUGGAAGGUCUGUAGGGACUUAACAAGACUAUAUAGGGAGAAUAGAGACAACCUACUAUUAUCUGGACUGCUUGUAGCAAGUGCUUCUAGGUUGCACAGGUUUUUCAUUCUUAAGAUAGACUUUCCUUACUCCAGAAGGGAGUCCAAUAGAGAGAGUGGUUGGCAAGUUUUUAUGGGCUCGAAUGGGAAGAAUGUCACAAGGCAAUCUAUUUUACUGGGUAAAAGUGUCUAGCUUUAAUUUAUCCCUGCUCCGGAAAGCCUAUAUAUUGCGCACUCCAUUCUGCUGGUGAGUUCUUUAACUGGUUUGUAAUACUGUAUAGUAACUUUGUAUACACCCACACUCCUUCUGCAACUCUGCUUCUGAAUGAAAUUAGCUGAGUCAAUGGGUGCUAUGCUUUGUGGUGAACUUAAUACUUAAGAAAAGCAGAGAAAUUGUAACACAUAAGCAGAAUAGACUCAUUCACAGAUUUCAAAUGUUGUAAGUGACAAGCCAGUGCUGAGAAGCUACUUCUCAAGAUAGUACAAGUCAUUAUGUAAGUCUAGUGUUGAAAAUGUCAGUGACGGUGAGUGAUCGGGCAAGUAUGCAGUGAGACAAGUGCAAUAUGAAAUAGUAAUGAUGGUACAGAUUCAUGUAGCAUUUGCUACAGUUAAUAUGUCAUAAUAAGUUUAUCUAACUUAGAGAAAGCCGUAGAUAACUGGAAUAAUAGGAUUUCUUUUUUCAUAUUCAGAUUAAUCAUGCGAUGUUUCAGAUUUUAGAGUUUUGUUCAUAGUCUCUUCAAAUGUCUCUGGUAUAAAUUCCCAAACUAAUUGGGAUGUAUGGUAUGUGGGUGCUUUUUACAUAAAGCAUGAACAUAACAUAGUUAUAACAGCUUACCUGGUCUCUUCAAAGUCAUACAAUAUUUAUCUUUCCUGAACAAUAAUAUAUUUUGUU
rnacentral:lncRNA from 1 species